CUGCCAGAUGUGGAUGGAGAGCUCUGUGUGUCCACAGGACAGGUAGAAAACAGGCAGUAGCAAUGCUGGCCUGCCCACACUGCCCUCUCCAUGGUCUUCACCCCAAGCAGCCACCUCUGAGGAUGAGAGUUUAGCUUAGAAUCUGGCCUCUUGCUGAACCUGCCAAGA
rnacentral:sRNA from 1 species